rnacentral:rRNA from 1 species
AACGUAGGUGGUUUUGUAAGUCGGGUGUGAAAGCCCCGGGCUCAACCUGGGAACUGCAUUCGAGACUGCAUUACUCGAGUAUGGGAGAGGGCAGUGGAAUUUCCGGUGUAGCGGUGAAAUGCGUAGAUAUCGGAAGGAACAUCAGUGGCGAAAGCGACUGCCUGGCCCAAUACUGACACUCAAGUUCGAAAGCGUGGGGAGCAAACA